rnacentral:lncRNA from 1 species
GUCUGGGAGUUCAGAUUACCACUGCUCAGAAGAACUAUGACUUCAGCUAUACUCACCUAACGGGACUUACAGGUGCUUCUUGUCAAUUAACAUUAUUAGUCGAUUCCGUUGUUGACCCUCUCGUCCCCAUUAUGGUCCACCAAUUUCUGGAAACGACGACAAAAAAACGCUUCAACUUGAUGUGACAGUUACAUUGUGCAAUAUAUACGCCACAGACCCUUCUUCCGUCCACGCUCAAGUCAAAACAGGAGCUGGUUUCUUUACAUUUUUUGUUCUUGAUUUUUGUUGUCGUUGUUGAUCUAAGCAAAGAACUUAAGAACUACAGAAACGUUACCUUUGCUCAUUUUUGAUUCCCACCAGGUCGCCCCCUUGACCCCACCCCCUAAGAAAAACUAUUGCGGAGAGGAGCGAGGAUGGUGUUACUAUUAUAACUGUGCAUUCAGAAACGGUCCCUGCAGCCCUGAAACUCCUCAUUGAUCUGGGUUACAUGAGAAAGCACCAUCAGAAAGCCCUUCCUCUCCGCGUUGCCACAGCCACACCGAACAGACUGAGGGGAGUCACUGGAGGGGCACAAUACCAAAUAAGAGGGGUUUCUCCUAAUGCAGUAGAUCUACUACGAGUGUUCCUUGUAAUUGGUACUGUACAAAAAAUGAUGAAGAGAGAGAAAAAAAAUGGAAAUCUACUUUUAUCUGACAACAAAAAAAGUCUGCCGUGUAUGAUUUUUUUUCUAAAGACAUUUCCUUUUAACUAUAUCAAAGUGAAUAUCACUGUUACUCCAAAAUGUUUAGCCUUUUUCUUGUCUGGAGAUGCUAGACAUGCAAUGUUACCUGUCUCCGGCCAACGGUCGGUCGGAGUGGGGAGGGGCAAUGGUCACGGUCCACUGAGUGCCUCUCUGCUGUGGUGCCCAUGGCGACGGUCGCUAGGCAAGGCUACCCCCACAGCAGCAUUUCCUCCUGGGCUUGCACCAAGCUCUCUCAUUGGACACCCUCAGCCCGGCAGGAAACCACGCUCCCUCCAAGACUGGCCAAUCAGCACGGAGCUAGCUAGCUAACGACCGCGCCAGCAGCACUCGACCUUGUCUCAACCAACCCUCUCCAUUUCCCCUAAUCUUCUUUCACACAAAGAUCACUUUAGCUGGAAGUCAAGAGACAGUCAAAUUUCUGGAAUUUUGCCAGUGUUUGAUGAAUUUUAUUUAGUUUUCAUUUGACGUUGUGUAUUUUUUGGUUUAUUUUUGUCUACAUGCAGUGGUCUUUUCAAGGUGGCUGCUUGAAACUAGCCCUUUUCACUGUUCAUAUGCAGAAACACUUUGGUCAGAGGUGCCUCUGUAUGUUCAUCCUGUGUAUUGGAUGCAAACGAGGAUCAAUACUACAGCCCGUCAUUGAUUGUCUAUUAUUAGUUAGUAUCUUAACUGAUUGAUUGAUCAUUGCUUUGUUUUGGACAGUAUGCUGUAGUACUUCCAGGUAGUAUCUCAAGAUGUGUAAGUUAGACCAAUAGGGUGUCUCAGAUGGGUGAGUGUGUCCUGCCUAUCUGCUCCACCUGGGUUCUGCCAGGGCUGUCCCCUUGCCCCCUCACACAGCUGCUACGCUACACCCUCCUCCAGUCCCCUCCAAAGCAACCAACCUAGACCACGGCCCUCUCCUUGACCAGACAUAAAAAGCGACUCAGUUCUGUCUCUAUGCAAAAGACUAGAGGCUGCGGGCCCUUUACAGCCAACGUGCCAAUCCUGCCCUAAGGAUUGAGCACCGACUCACAGCGCUAGACCCAACGACCUCCUGAUGUAUGUACCCUUCAGCACUUAGAACAUGUCUGCUCCUGGUCCUUAUAGCUGGGUUUAAACCACAACACUGUCGUAUUCCAAACUUCCACCCUCCCUCUAUGGGGAGUUAGUACCACUGGAGUGGAGGUAUAGUAGGCCUCUCUUUACUGUGCUGAAGAAGACUGAUCUCCUGUCAGCUUGAUCUCAGGGUAGGAGACGACGUUAAAAGAUGCAGCUCUCUCUGUAUGUAUGUCCUUUUGCUGUAGUGUAAGAGAGCCAAGUUCUACACUAACUAAUGGCAAGCUGUGCCGUAGUACUUGUAUUGGCUGGAGAAUUGUUUUUUGGGAAUGGAAUAGUAAUGAAUUCCCUUCCCAACUAUGUUACAAUGUAGAGGCCCAUUCUGCAUGUAAGAUGCCUAUGUUAUCCUAUGUGCCAAUACCAAAAAAUAUAUAAUCUAUAAAACUAGCCCAUGUUAUACGAUCUGGAGAAAGAGCUCUUCUCUCUGGAUGGAGGAUCUUUGAUAACCUUUGUGAUGGAGGCAGGGGGGCAGGAGGGAUCAAACAGAUGGGUGGAGGCAACACACCUCAUCCUGGACUCCUGAGAUAAUAUGGCUUGUGUCUCAAAUGGCACCCUGUUCACUAGGUAGUGCAUUAUAUAGGGACAUAGGGUGCCAUUUAGGCAGUCUUUGCUUUAGUGGGGAAUGCCCCGUUGUUGAGGAUAAAAUCUUUACUGAGUUUGCGGGAUCCAAGUAUGCUACGGUGCACAGUCAGUUUGACGGGUAAUCCCGGGUACAUAUUUUUUUAAACCAAAAAUGAAAUUCAAUUUUAACGUCAUUUUUAAUAUGAAGUUUGACACAAAAUCUAAAAAAUAAAAAUAAAAAAGUACAAAAAUCAAUAACAUCUAUAAUAUGUUAGAACUAAAGCGCUGCACUUCUAGCUGAAAUGUCUCCAGUCCUCUAACUUCCAGAAUGCAGGCUGGGGAGCCUUUUUGUGGAUGCUGUAUUUAUCCUAUUUGUUAGUGUUUCCGCCCAAAGCAGGCCCACAACUGUAUAUUUCCACAGACCCAGAUGGCUUCGGGCCCACUGUAUCAGCCCAGGUCGCUCGCCUCACUGCGUCUGCGGUGGGCAACGAGAGGGGGCGCAUUUCAAAAAGGUACAAAAAUUCUUUACAAAAAAAAAAAAAAAAAAAUGGGAUAAGGCUACCUUUUGGGACUCUGUGAGGUGUCCAGCAGCACACUAGCAAAAAUCACUAUUGCCUGUUUCUGUAACUGCCUUGAUCCAAGCUCAGAGAGACCAAUUAGCUGGGUGGGGGCCUCCAAACGUCCGCUCGGUGUGGGGGGGAAAACCCCUGCUGCACCAGCACUGAGUGGCACGCCGUGCGCUCUCGCUACAGCUUAACUAUAGAUAGGUGUGUGUGUGUGUGUGUGUGUGUGUGUAUAUAUAUACACAUGUACGUACGGUGUGUGGUAGGUAGCACAUCAACAGACACCUUGGAUCUCAACCUCCUGAAACCUUUUGUUCCUUUUAAAAGGUCUGGGUUCAAUACAAACUGAAGAUGAGCAAUAUUUAUUCCCCUCCGCAAAUAAGUGAUACGAAGGAAAUGGAAUGGGGUUAGGGGUUAAACUGGUACUUGAUGGAUCAUGAGUAAUGUCUUUCCUACCUGGAGUUGGAUAUGCACGUUCUGGAUUUAUGAACAUAUUACAGUAAAGUACCUUGAAGUACUUGUAUGUGAAUUUGUCUAAACAACCCAACCUGAAAUCUCCUGUUUUUUAAAUGCAUACUUUCCCAGUAGAGAAAAAUAUCAUUAAACAUAUCAACACAAAAAUACACAAAUACUUGAAUCAAGGAGCGCCAAUAACGUAAUGUGAAGUUUGUUUUUUUUUUGUAAAAAAAAAAAGAAAAGUCUGACUUGUACACUUCCAAGCUUUUUGAGGUCAUCAGUUAAAAAAAUAUAUAUAUAUAAAAAAUUAUAAAAAAAUGUGCAAAAAUCAUUUUGUGUGCUUGAAAGUCAAAUGUAUGUGUGCAAACGACUGUGUGCUUGGCAGGCUUAGGACUGCUGUCAUGUUCCAUUCAGUAUGUUGUGUAUUGACAUUGUCUGUUCUUUUAUUCAGUUUAUUUUUUGCUUGUCAACUAUAUUUUGAUAGACAUUGUUAUUAUCUUCUAACAUGGCACUGAGUGUCUUCUACCCCUCACUCAGCUAAUCGUAGACAAACGAGACUAAGUACUGAGGGGAGAGGGUGAUAAUUCAUGUGUAAAUGUUUACUCAAGGACUUAAUGGGGGGAAAAAAACGUGUUUUAUCUGUAAAAUGUUUAUCUACCUUAUAGUGGCUUUUAUUGUGGAAUAAUCCAAAACAAGGAUUAUCAUUGAGUAUUGCACCAUCUUGUUCUGAUUACAUAUAAAUGUAAUGAAAAAAGACAAAAAAUUUACAAUCUAAGAAUUGUGGCCAUAGAUAGUAGUAGGACUAGUAAUCCCUAUGUUAACUUCAUGGAGAAAUGGAAAGGGAUAAUGUGGGGAUGUGAGUUUGUUACAGGACUCAUUUCAGAGGUGCCUAUCUUUUUCUUUUUUCUUUUUUUUUGCAAAGCCACCUGUCGUUUACAAACAUUUCAUUUGUCUGAAGUUGAGGAAAAAGGAAUUUUAUAAUGAAAAUGUUGAAAAAGACAAAUUCCAUCUUCCAUCAAAUGAAUAUGAACAUAAAACCAACUUUGCAAAAUUAAGAUUUAUGCUACUUUCAGAACUCUGGGAUUGAUCAGUGUUGUGUCGUAUUUCAAUUUUUAAUUUCUCUUUUUUGAUGUCGACAGACAUAUGUAUUGAUUUAUUUGAAUUUUGUCUUGUAAAAAGGCAACGCAAUUUGCUUACUAUCUUGCACACUCGUAAAGAUGUGGCUCUUGUCUCGGGAAGGCCAGGAUUUCCAGAGUUCGAACUCCACCAUUUUUAUUUAAAUUUGAGUUUUAAAUUAGAAUAACUUUGAGAAAUCUAACUCCAAGCACUGAAAGGUAGGGAUUUAAAUAGAAUAUGAAAUACCAUUGAUUCUAAAAAUCCGUAGCGGUUACAUAUUUACCAAAUAAAUGACUGAAAAUGAACUUUUUGAGAGAGAAUGUGGAGUGCUUUACAUGAAAAAUCGAUGUAGAAAUUGCUUUACAUUGAAACAAAAAUGAUCAAUGGUUUAAAUUGUCAAAAGGCAGUGAUUUAGUUUUACUUAUGUAUUUUCUUUGAGGUUCCAUCCUGUAACAUUCAGGAGCAUUGUGCAUUACUCUUAUGUCUCUGUUCCUGUGGCAGGUAUUCAAUGUCUAAUAGAUGGUUUUCAGGAGACAGAUUUGAAGUGGAGGGGGGAAGCUGGUUUUUAAAGGCUCAUGAUCUAUGCACAAGUGGGAGGGAGAGUCCAGGCCUGCUUUUCUCUUGGGACUCGUACUCUGGGGUUCGAUGUAGGGGUGUGUCUUUGUUGUGCUAUGUUAGAUUUUCUCCCCCCCCCCCCCCCAUCAGAUUUAUGGCAAAACUUUGUAUUGCUUCACCAUGCUGUGUAAUCCUUAACCAAUGAGCGCUUAUCCUUCUGCUAAAGCACUGUGGGUUAUACUGAGAAAAAGCCCAUGACUUAAGGCAGUCCGGUUUUUGUAUGGGGGAGGAGGUGGUACUCUGCCUUCUGCCUUUUUUAUUUAAGAAAAAAAAAUUUAAGGAGAAAUGUCUGUGCUGAGAAAGUUGUGGCUUUUAUUUUUUCUCCUCAUAGAAUGUAAUUGUUAAUGACAUGCACCGGAAAAAACAUGUUUCCAUAAGUUAUGGCGCUUCUUUCGGACUAUAUUAAUAAAUUGACAUUUUUCUUGGC